AAUGCUAUGGGAUUUGCACAUGUGAAAAUCUAGUCAUUGCAGCAUUUUGGUGAUGGCGAGAUUAACCCUAAAAAAAUCAUCGUGGUGGAUUUGGAAGUAAAUUAUAUCUGAAAGCGAUGUGGAUCAUAGAAUUAUGGUUGGGAUUGAUAAAUAGUAAAUAAAGGAAAACAUCAAUUUUAUUGCAAGCUGAAGCCAAUGGAGCCAGACCACGAAAAAUAAUUGAUUAUUCAGAGCUCAAUGAAACGGAUAUCCAAUGUUAUUUAAACAUAGCUUAUUCAUACAAAUGGCAAUAAUGUAUAAAAUAAACAGUUUUUAAACUAC